rnacentral:lncRNA from 1 species
GGCAGGGAUCAAGCUGUCUGCCACCAUCAGGGAGAGCUCCUGGAAGCAGGGGAGGAAAUCCUGGAAGAAGAUCUGGGCCAGACAGCCCACCGCACGAAUAAACCCACUAGUGCCUUGCUCCCAGUGCCUCCCAGGUGGUGGCAACAUGGAGAAACCAUGGGGCCUGAUUUCCAGGCAGUUCCUCAGAGCGAUGAACCAGAGACCGGGUGGCUGAACGAGAAGAUCCAGGAUUGCUUACUGGUUUUGUAUUAUCUGUGGAUCUGUGCCCCUCGAGUCCCCUUAAAAUGUCAGGUGAUGACAAUACAAAUUAAACUCCUGAGCCUGCAUUUUUCCUCUGGGCCAUGAUGACUAAGAGGGAUGAAUCUGCACUUCUCCUUGGGGCAACUGCAGGGCAAGAGGAAGACUGUUGAAGCUCUCACUCCUCAGUGAGCUCGGGUUUCCCCUGGUGCAGAUCAGUAGGUCCAGGAGCAUCUCCUUCCUCCAGUUGAGCUGGGAAUGCAAACCAGAGACGUCUCUAACAGUGACUGAUGCGGAGGUGAUGACCCGCUGGCCAGGCAAAGCUUUCCCUCUCUGUUCUCCUCCCGCUCCGUGUGCCAGUAAUUGCCUGAUGUCCGUGACAAAUGGCGGGUAAAUCCCAGGCUGAGAGCUCAGAAUGGACUUCAGAGGGUUCUCUUCCUGGCAAGCUCUUGUGGAAAGAGGUGAAGGACUGCUGGCCCUGAGGCGGUCUCUGCUCAAGCCCACCUGGUGGAGGUCAGGAAUGGGGCCCGGGGUGAGUUCACCUUCAGCAGCCCCCAUCUGCAGACAGACAAAGGCAACCAUGGUUUCGAGCCUGGUCAGUUUCUUAAUCCUCUAUAAGCACACACGUCCCUCACUGCAAAUUCUUACCCCAAACUGGAACUCAGCAGAAGAAAUCAAUUAAUGCGGCAGAUGUUUCUCCUCUUGCAUGUUUUCUCUUAAGCAAAGUACAUUGCACAAGUAGCAAGACUAGUAAUAAUAUUAAGUCCAUGCUAACCCAACUCAAUUCCAAGUGUGAGAUCUGGAAAGGUAAGUUGGGGAGAAUUUUUAUGAUAAAGGCACAGUUCUUGGAAGACAUAACAGCACUAUGUCAUGUGCUACCUUUAACUUGGAGGACAUGAACUUGGGAGUCAGACCAACCUAUGGUCAAAUCCCAGUCCUUCUAUUAUGUAAUAAUAUGACCCACAAUAGUGGGUCAUGGUUGGGCCAUUUCCUAAAUCAUGGGAUGAUAAGAUUUGAUGAGAGAAUUAAAUCAGCGAGCAUUUAUCCAGACCUUUGCCCUUGGCCCAUAGGAGGCGUCUAAUAAAUGGUGGCUUUUGUCUCCCUUUCUUCAACCCCUAAAUAAGCACAACCUAGCUUGUGCAUUAACUCCUGUUUCAAACUCCGUGUCUUGAGACGUUGAAGCAAAUUCAUACCUUCGAUAAACAGCUUUAUAAUGGGCUGCUCUUGUGCCGAAUAUACCAAACUCAGACAGACAGGCAAGGAUCUAGGAAAUCUAAGAGAAGCAAACUCUGCUCACUUCCACGACCCUCGGACACAUCACAAUGUCACACAUGUCACACGCUCACCUGACAGGAAAUCUCCCAUCCUUUUCCACCAGAGGGAAAGCAGUGCCUGGGUCAGCUCCAAAACUAGUCAUAAAGGGACCCUGGGUGUGUAGGGGGCUGGGGAAGGAAGCUAGAAAGAGAGGUUAGAGGGCAUCAGCUUGUUCUUGACCUCUGGCUACAUCUCCGGGUCAACUGUCACAGGCCCAGGGUGCCUUUGGCCAUCAGGGAAUGAGAACUUGAGUGGUGUGCGGGGUGCCCAGUCCCACAAGGCAGGUGGCCCAGACAAUGACGAGGAGACAGUGAGUCGCCUUGCCCUCCUGUCCUUCCUUGACAGCUCCUAUAACAUUAUAGAUCCCUCAAGACCAAAUCACUUCCUUCUUAAGCUGUCCUUACAUUUGGAACUCCCAUAAAGACAGCAAUAAAAAGAGAGGUACCCUCAGAUAGCCAUCUGCAGGUGUUCCAAGACGCAGCAAGUCAUGUGAAUCCCCCCUUAGGCCAGUGGAUUCACUCCAUCUGUGCUUGCAAUUCAGUGGAGACCAGUAUUUUCUGAUGUGCAGCUUGCUUGAAAUGUCUGUUUCUUUUUUACACACCAAAGAAGAAAAAUCCACAUUUCCAUCCAUAUUAUUAGAACCAAAAAUAGCCCAUAUCAUUUCCCCCAAACAAUUACAUUCUGUGCCUCAACUUUAAAGGUUGUUGUGUUCCCUCCUACUUUCUCCUUUUAUUACACAAGAUUUCCAGUUAUUCCGUAUUUUGUUCUCAUUAGAACACUGCUUGUCACAUGUUUUCACCAGAGACAUUCAUCACCGAGGUCAAAGGGUGAAUAUCAUGAUCUAUUAUGCUUAGAGGAAUCUAAUGAAAAGCCACAUAAUUAUCCAAUUUAAAGAAAAGCAUGUUAAAAAAAAAAAAAGAAGGGGAGCACUUGCCAUAAUUUAAAUUGUUUUGUUUCCCUGAAGCAAAAUUCAGCCCCUGAUUGACAGGACCUAAUGAUAAUUCUUAUUGAUAUGGUGAUGUUAAUUGUGGAGAGAUAUUUAAUAAGUCCCACAUUCUGGAGGUAAAUGUGUGCUCUUAACCUGCACCUGAACCUGAUUUUUGAUGCAGCGUGCGGAUGAGGUACAGAUACAGAUAAGUGAGCACAAGUGGAUUUUCAGUCUUCUGUGGCGGCAUGGAAAUUGGAAUCCUCAGAAUCUAUUAGGAGAACAAUUCCACAGUUGCUCACACUUUUAUAAAUUAUAUUGUCUAUUAGCGAAAGACACAAAGUCAGGGGAGGUUCAAGAGAGGAUACUUCGAGACUUCGCAGAGAAGUUUUUAGGGUGAUAUUUGGUGGUGGCGAUGUGUUGUUGCUUUUAAUCAAAGACAUACACCAAAGAGUGUGAUCUGUAUUCACUCCAUUUUCUGUGUUAACUCUUUCCCACCCCGAGGGGAGGCCUUGCUGAAAAUGAGGGCAACUUUUAAACCUAAGCAGAUUAUUGAAAGAAAAGGAAUUCUCGCACCGCGAGGGAAACCAUUUGAGAAGGUGUUCAUGGGCCUAAAUGCCCAAAGGAAGUGACCUGUGGGGGCUGAAAGUUCAACAAGGUCUGUGUCCCCUUGUGAGAUUGCUGCUGGGCUGAGAGACCUUGGGAAAGUUACUCAACCUCUCUGAGAGGUUCUUUCCUCUCAUGUAAAGUGAUGGCGACAGUAGUGCCCUUCUCCUAGAGUUGUUGAAUGAAAUUAUUCACAUAAACCACUUCUCAGCACUGCUGGCCUACAGUAAGUGCCCCAAACACAGUAGCUAUUAUUCUUGUUUAUUACAAUUAGCACCAAGAGCAGAGAAAACCCAAAGUCAGCAAAGAGCUAAUCCUCCUGAUAGGGAUUCCAGGCCCUAAAGAAACAGGUGCUGAGCUGUGGACAGAGAUGGGAUCAGCACUAACUUUCUGAAACUUUCCAAAAGCAUUACCAGGACCAGAGCGGAUGGGUCGUCACUAGGUCAGGUUAUGUAUGAUUUGACUCUUUAAGCAGAAACCUUCUCUCAAUCAGAAGCUAUGUGUUUCUUGUGUUUUUAUCAUGGUCUAACAAAGUUUUCAGUAUUGGAACUUCAAAACUGCAUCUUCUAUCUUCUAACUGCAGCCUUAUCAUUUGGAAAGUAAUCCUCAUAUAGCAAAUAAUACAAAGUAAAAAAAAAAAAA